rnacentral:rRNA from 1 species
GUGCCAGCGCCGCGGUAAUUCCAGCUCCAAUAGCGUAUACUAAAGUUGUUGCAGUUAAAAAGCUCGUAGUUGAAUUUCUGGUCUCGGACAUCGGUCUGCCUCGAACGAGGUACGUACCAGUUGUCUGAAUCCAUCCUCGGGGAAAACAUGUCUGGCAUUCAGUUGUUGGGCAUGGGAUCCUCGUCAUUUACUGUGAGCAAAAUAGAGUGUUCAAAGCAGGCUUAUGCCGUUGAAUACAUUAGCAUGGAAUAAUAAGAUAGGACCUUGGUCUAUUUUGUUGGUUUGUACUCCAAGGUAAUGAUUAAUAGGGAUAGUUGGGGGUAUUCGUAUUCAAUUGUCAGAGGUGAAAUUCUUGGAUUUAUGGAAGACGAACUACUGCGAAAGCAUUUACCAAGGGAUGUUUUCAUUAAUCAAGAACGAAAGUUAGGGGAUCGAAGAUGAUUAGAUACCAUCGUAGUCUUAACCAUAAACUAUGCCGACUAGGGAUUGGUGGACGUUUGUAACGACUCCAUCAGCACCUUAUGAGAAAUCAAAGUCUUUGGGUUCC